UUUCCAGACUCCUACGGGAGGCAGCAGUGAGGAAUAUUGGUCAAUGGCCGAGAGGCUGAACCAGCCAAGUCGCGUGAGGGAUGACGGCCCUACGGGUUGUAAACCUCUUUUGUCGGGGAGCAAAGAGAGUCACGUGUGACUCAUUGAGAGUACCCGAAGAAAAAGCAUCGGCUAACUCCGUGCCAGCAGCCGCGGUAAUACGGAGGAUGCGAGCGUUAUCCGGAUUUAUUGGGUUUAAAGGGUGCGUAGGCGGGACCUUAAGUCAGCGGUAAAAUUGCGGUGCUCAACGCCGUAGAGCCGUUGAAACUGGGGUUCUUGAGUGAGCGAGAAGUAUGCGGAAUGCGUGGUGUAGCGGUGAAAUGCAUAGAUAUCACGCAGAACCCCGAUUGCGAAGGCAGCAUACCGGCGCUCAACUGACGCUGAGGCACGAAAGUGCGGGUAUCGAACAGGAUUAGAUACCCGUGUA
rnacentral:rRNA from 1 species